CUGGGUGGGGCAAAUGGUUAAUGUUUUUAGCUGCUAACUAAAAGGUUGGAGGUUCAAGUCCACCCAGA
rnacentral:tRNA from 1 species